UACGAAGGGGGCUAGCGUUGUUCGGAAUCACUGGGCGUAAAGCGCACGUAGGCGGAUCUUUAAGUCAGGGGUGAAAUCCCGAGGCUCAACCUCGGAACUGCCUUUGAUACUGGAGAUCUCGAGUCCGGGAGAGGUGAGUGGAACUGCGAGUGUAGAGGUGAAAUUCGUAGAUAUUCGCAAGAACACCAGUGGCGAAGGCGGCUCGCUGGCCCGGUACUGACGCUGAGGUGCGAAAGCGUGGGGAGCAAACAGG
rnacentral:rRNA from 1 species